rnacentral:misc_RNA from 1 species
UUGGUUUUGUUAGUUUUGUGUCUGACAACAGACAGUUUUUCAUAAGUUAAUACUCAGAGUUUUUGGUGAAGUCGUUCUCUUGGGUUGUGAAGCCAAGCGAAAGAUUCAAAUCAGUGGUCUAAAUGACAGCUCAGAAGUGGACUGCUAGGCAUUGAGUAGAGUAUUCUAUAACCAAUAAGCCUUCAGUCCUUGUCUCUGCUCUGUAAAAUGAGGAGUUGCCUCCUCGAAAACGGUACGCGGGUCGAAAAGUGUGAAGCUAUUGCUAGCGACUCACUUUUUUGAAAAGGGUGUGGUAAUGAUCCUUCCGCAGGUUCACCUACGGAAA